ensembl:lncRNA
GAGAGAGGAGAGAGAGAGGAGAAAGAGAGAGAGGAGAAAGAGAGAGAGAGGAGAAAGAGAGAGAGAGGAGAAAGAGAGAGAGGAGAAAGAGAGAGAGAGAGAGAGAGAAGAAAGAACUGUUAAACAGAGAAAGAGAUCUGAAGGGAGGCUCUAUCCUAAGAUCAAAUCAAAAUUAAAUGUUAUUUGUCACAUGCGCUGAAUACAACCUUCCUAUGAAAUGCUUACUUACAAGUCCUUAACUUUAUUUUCUUUAAACUGCAUUGUUGGUUAAGAAAAUAUUUUUAAAAUGUCAACAAAAUAACUGAGGCUAUAAACAGGGGGCACCGGUACCGAGUCAGUGUGAGGGGUACAGGUCAAAGGUCAUUUGUAUAUGUAGGUAGGGGUGAAGUGACUAUACAUAGAUAAUAAACAGUAGUACAGGUUAAAGGUCAUUUGUAUAUGUAGGUAGGGGUGAAAUGACUACGUAUAGAUAAUAAACAGUAGUACAGUUUAAAGGUCAUUUGUAUAUGUAGGUAGGGGUGAAGUGACUCCGAUGGCCAUUCGAUGAAUUGUUCAGCAGUCUUCUGCCUUGGGGGUAAGAAGCUGUUCAGGAGCCUUCUGGUCCUAGACUUGGCGCUCUGGUACCGCUUGCCGUGCGGUAGCAGAGAAAACAAACAGUCUAUGACUGGGGUGGUUGGAGUCUUUGACAACUUUUAGGGCCUUCUACUGACACCGCCUGGUGUUGAGGUCCUGAAUGGCAGGAAGCUUGGCCCCAGUGAUGUACUGG